AUUUAUUUAGUAUAAAAAGUACAUUUAAUUUCCAAUUAAAAAGACUAUACUUAUCUAGAAUAAAUA
rnacentral:tRNA from 1 species